CCUACGGGAGGCAGCAGUGGGGAAUAUUGGACAAUGGGCGAAAGCCUGAUCCAGCAAUGCCGCGUGAGUGAAGAAGGCCUUCGGGUUGUAAAGCUCUUUUACCCGGGAAGAUAAUGACUGUACCGGGAGAAUAAGCUCCGGCUAACUCCGUGCCAGCAGCCGCGGUAAUACGGAGGGAGCUAGCGUUGUUCGGAAUUACUGGGCGUAAAGCGUACGUAGGCGGCUUGGUAAGUCAGAGGUGAAAGCCCACGACUCAAUCGUGGAACUGCCUUUGAGACUGCUUCGCUUGAAGAUGGGAGAGGUUAGUGGAAUUCCGAGUGUAGAGGUGAAAUUCGUAGAUAUUCGGAAGAACACCAGUGGCGAAGGCGGCUAACUGGACCAUUCUUGACGCUGAGGUACGAAAGCGUGGGGAGCAAACAGGAUUAGAUACCCUGGUAGUCCACGCCGUAAACGAUGAUAACUAGCUGUCGGGGGCUCUUGGAGCGUUCGGUGGGUCGGCAGCUAACGACAUUAAAGUUUAAUUACCGUCCGUCGGGGUAGGGUACGGGCCGGACCGAAACGGUUAAAAACGUUAAACGAAAAGGAAAGUUAAGUACGGCGUGUAAGGACGUGCCGAACGGACGACCGAACCGAAGGGGAAGGAGG
rnacentral:rRNA from 1 species